GAGUUUGAUCGUGGCUCAGGACGAACGCUGGCGGCAUGCUUAACACAUGCAAGUCAAGGGGUAGCAAUACCACUGGCGCACGGGUGAGUAACACGUAGGUUAUCUGCCCCCAUCACAGACAUAACUCCGGGAAACCGGUGCUAAUAUCUGAUGAGGUCGCGAGAUCAAAGUCUUCGGACGGAUGGGGAUGAGCCUGCGGCUGAUUAGCUAGUUGGUGAGGUAAUGGCUCACCAAGCCUACGAUCUAUAGCUGGUCUGAGAGGAUGAUCAGCCACACUGGGACUGAGACACGGCCCAGACUCCUACGGGAGGCAGCAGUGGGGAAUAUUGGACAAUGGACGAAAGUCUGAUCCAGCAAUGCCGCGUGAAUGAUGAAGGCCUUAGGGUUGUAAAGUUCUUUUAGUAGGGAAGAAAAUGGCGGUACCUACAGAAAAAGCUCCGGCUAACUUCGUGCCAGCAGCCGCCGCGGUAAG
rnacentral:rRNA from 1 species